UUCGGGCUAAUCCCUAACAAUGGCAACCAUUUUAGUGAUUUGUUUUCACGCUGUUGUUUCGGUCGAAUCUAUUACGUUAAGAAAGGAGUGUCCCCACGACGAAGUCCACAAGUCCUGCGCCUUCCACGAGGAGUACAGCUGCUGGCAGCAGGCAGAUAGGAUGGACCGGGUCAGAUCACUCCCCAAACGGCUGCCAUACUGCCAGUCUGGGUGCUAUUGCAAGAAGGGUCUAGUCCGAGAAUUUCCUGGCGGGACCUGUAUAUCAGCUGGCCUCUGCCGAAACAGAAAACUGCGGGAUGUUCUUAAGAAAAUCAUCACCGAUCAAUAAAAAUUACUGAUCAACUAACAAUAAGCUGACACAAAAAAAACUGCUGAAUUAAUUACCUACCGCAAUAUCUAUCUAAAUGUAUGUAACACUUACCUUUAGCG